GACGGAGGAUGCAAGCGUAAUCCGGAAUCAUUGGGCGUAAAGCGUACGUAGGCGGCUUAUCAAGUCUGGGGUCAAAGACCACAGCUUAACUGUGGAAAGGCCUUGGAAACUAGUGAGCCGGAGUGAGGUAGGGGUUGCGGGAAUUCCCGGUGUAGCGGUGAAAUGCGUAGAUAUCGGGAAGAACACCUGAGGCGAAAGCGCGCGACUGGGCCUUAACUGACGCUGAGGUACGAAAGCUAGGGGAGCGAAUGGG
rnacentral:rRNA from 1 species